rnacentral:pre_miRNA from 1 species
AAAAAGACAAACUCUGGUUUCCGUGUCCAACGUUUGACCGUCUGUCUUAUUUAAAAAAUUAUAAAAAAAUUAAAAAGACAAGUCACGCAUAAAAUAUUAAUCAUGUUUUAUCAUCUAACAACAAUAAAAAUACGAAUUAUAAAAAUAUUUCAUAUAAGACAGACAGUCAAAGUUGGACACGAAAACUCAGGGUUUGCCUUUUU